UUGGAGGGCAAGUCUGGUGCCAGCAGCCGCGGUAAUUCCAGCUCCAAUAGCGUAUAUUAAAGUUGUUGCAGUUAAAAAGCUCGUAGUUGAAUUCGGAAUCAGUAUGUUGGUCGUGCUUCGGUACGUACUGUCAUUACUGGUUUCUCCCUUCUGAAGAACCUUGAUGUCAUUAAAUUGGUGUCCUGGGGAAUCAGGAUUGUUACUUUGAAAAAAUUAGAGUGUUUAAAGCAGGCAUACGCUUGAAUACAUUAGCAUGGAAUAAUGAAAUAGGGCGUUUGAUUCUAUUUUGUUGCUUUCUAGGAUCGACGUAAUGAUUAAUAGGGAUAGUUGGGGGCAUUAGUAUUCAAUUGUCAGAGGUGAAUUUCUUGGAUUUAUUGAGGACUAACUACUGCGAAAGCAUUUGCCAAGGAUGUUUCCAUUAAUCAAGAACGGAAGUUAGGGGAUCGGAGACGAUCAGAUACCGUCGUAGUCUAAACCAUAAACUAUGCCGACUAGGGAUCGGAUGAUGUUAAUUUUUUAAUGACUCAUUCGGCGCCUUACGGGAAAC
rnacentral:rRNA from 1 species